rnacentral:misc_RNA from 1 species
GGAGGUAAAAGUCGUAACAAGGUUUCCGUAGGUGAACCUGCGGAAGGAUCAUUAUUGUAUAACCGAGGUGCGAGGGCUGUCGCUGACCCGAAAGGUCGUGCACGCCCGAGUGCCCUCACACACAUCCAUCUCACCCCUAUGUGCACCACCGCGUGGGUCCCCCUUUGGCUUGUUCGGAGGGGGGCUUACGUUUUCACACAAACUUUGUAUGCAGUGUAGAAUGUAUUUUUUGUUUUUGCGAUCACGCAAUCAAUACAACUUUCAACAACGGGUCUCUUGGCUCUC